GCUUCUCUUAUUUUGAUUCUUUCAUCUUAUUUCAAGUGAAACCCUAAAUCACAAAUAUGGUCAGAUCUUGAAGGAUUUUGGAUCUGAAAUCAUUGUUUAGAGGCUACAAUCCAACGUGCAAGAGGCUGAGAGGCGUGGGUUUUCUCAUAAUCGAGAGAAGGAUGAAGGGCAAUGACAAAAUGGGUUUUGAUAGGAGUUUCAAGGGUACUUUUUUUGUUUUCUUUUGCUUAUGGGCUCGCUUGAAGCCCUAAUUCACAGCCGGCGUCUCCACAUGUGCCGUCUUUUUUUAUAGUUAGGAUUUCUAUUCAGGUGGAUCACCUCAAUAUAAGGUGGAUAGAAAGUUGGGUAAAGGUGGAUUUGGUCAGGUAUUUAUAGGUCGUCGUGGUUGUGUUUAUGGUGGAACUGACUGCAUAUCAGCUAUCCUGGUGCCAUGGAGCUAGCUCUAAAGUUUGAGCACAGAAACCACAAAGGCUGCAGUUAUGGUUCUCCUUAUGAGUAGCAAGUUUACAAUACUCUGGGUGGCAGUCACGGAGUGCCUAAAGUUCACUAUAUAGGAAAGCAAGGAGACUACUUUGACAUGGUAUGAAAAAAAGUGUUUUUUUUCAUAUAGAAAAAUAAACGUUUCAACACAGUAUUAAUCAUUUUGUUUCGUAUUUUUUCUUGCACGCUAAUAUCAUGAUGUCUAAUACUUUUGUAUGUCGUUGGUCAUUAAUUAAUGGCUACAACGACUAGAGAUCGAUGCAAACGUUGAUGAGUAAUUCAAUAUGUUUGAGUGGCCCACUUAGCUAGGAGAUCGAUACAAACCUUCGAGAAGCACACAUAAACAAACCUGGUUGCAGAUUUGGCGAAUCUCUGACUUUGAGAAAUCUAAUUAAAGGCCAAAGAACUUAGCUAGAACAAUCAGAGGUAGCGCGACAGGCAUGUCAGAGUGCUUGUUUUCAUGGUCCUAGAGGACUAGCUGAUUGUAACGGUGCAUCAUCAGAGAUUUCACAUACCUCAGAUGCGUCUCAAAUUGACAUGGUCUGCACGCUGCCUGUGUUGCGGACAGUCGAAUACAUCAGAUGGGACGCUCAACCGGUCUACAAAAUGACAAAAACAUGUCAGUUUUGUAACUCCAACAGCUGAUCAAGAUUUAUCAUCAAUGCAGAGUUAUGAUUGGAUCUGGCCGAAAACAUUCCCCAUUUGGCUGUAGUGUCUCAUAGUCAGUCGCAAAACCACAUGUGCAGUUCAUAGGUUCUUGAAUGAUUGGAUUUGGGAAAGAGAGUUUAGCCACACACCAAAGUGCAGACUCUGGCUCACUAUGAGGCGGUGGUGGUUUGGUUGGUGGCGGGUAUAAAAUCGGUGGCUCAAAUAGAGGUGGUGCAGGUAUGAACCUUGUAGGUGAAGGAUAUGAAGAUGUUGGUAGGCAUGGUUCAUUAUCAUAAGGAGGGCUUCGACCAGGGCUCGGCUCAUAGUUUUAUGGAGGGGUUAGACCAGGGCUCAGCUCAUAGUUUUAUGUAGGGGUCAGACCAGGGCCCGGUUCAUAGUUUUAAGGUGGUCUCACGUAACACCCCGUGUUUUCGAAUGUCAAAGUCAAAGUCCAAGUCAACUUUGACUUUCUUUGACUAUAAUUAGUCUAUUUUAUGUUUUAUUUGUAUUAUGUGGAGUAAGUGUUGUAAUCAAGAAAGAAUCAACGUAAUCGAAUGUUU
rnacentral:lncRNA from 1 species